AGAGCCCAAACCAACAAGCUUGCUUGUUGGGGUUGUAGGACACUCUAUACGGAGUUACAAAGGACGACAUUAGACGAAUCAUCUGGAAAGAUGAAUCAAAGAAGGUAAUAAUCCUGUAGUCGAAAAUGUUGUCUCUCUUGAGUGGAUCCUGAGUACGACGGAGCACGUGAAAUUCCGUCGGAAUCUGGGAGGACCAUCUCCUAAGGCUAAAUACUCUCUAGUGACCGAUAGUGAACCAGUACCGUGAGGGAAAGGUGAAAAGCACCCCGGAAGGGGAGUGAAAUAGAACCUGAAACCGUGUGCUUACAAGUAGUCAGAGCCCGUUAAUGGGUGAUGGCGUGCCUUUUGUAGAAUGAACCGGCGAGUUACGAUUUGAUGCAAGGUUAAGCAGUAAAUGUGGAGCCGUAGCGAAAGCGAGUCUGAAUAGGGCGUUUAGUAUUUGGUCGUAGACCCGAAACCAGGUGAUCUACCCUUGGUCAGGUUGAAGUUCAGGUAACACUGAAUGGAGGACCGAACCGACUUACGUUGAAAAGUGAGCGGAUGAACUGAGGGUAGCGGAGAAAUUCCAAUCGAACCUGGAGAUAGCUGGUUCUCUCCGAAAUAGCUUUAGGGCUAGCCUCAAGUGAUGAUUAUUGGAGGUAGAGCACUGUUUGGACGAGGGGCCCCUCUCGGGUUACCGAAUUCAGACAAACUCCGAAUGCCAAUUAAUUUAACUUGGGAGUCAGAACAUGGGUGAUAAGGUCCGUGUUCGAAAGGGAAACAGCCCAGACCACCAGCUAAGGUCCCAAAAUAUAUGUUAAGUGGAAAAGGAUGUGGCGUUGCCCAGACAACUAGGAUGUUGGCUUAGAAGCAGCCAUCAUUUAAAGAGUGCGUAAUAGCUCACUAGUCGAGUGACACUGCGCCGAAAAUGUACCGGGGCUAAACAUAUUACCGAAGCUGUGGAUUGUCCUUUGGACAAUGGUAGGAGAGCGUUCUAAGGGCGUUGAAGCAUGAUCGUAAGGACAUGUGGAGCGCUUAGAAGUGAGAAUGCCGGUGUGAGUAGCGAAAGACGGGUGAGAAUCCCGUCCACCGAUUGACUAAGGUUUCCAGAGGAAGGCUCGUCCGCUCUGGGUUAGUCGGGUCCUAAGCUGAGGCCGACAGGCGUAGGCGAUGGAUAACAGGUUGAUAUUCCUGUACCACCUAUAAUCGUUUUAAUCGAUGGGGGGACGCAGUAGGAUAGGCGAAGCGUGCGAUUGGAUUGCACGUCUAAGCAGUAAGGCUGAGUAUUAGGCAAAUCCGGUACUCGUUAAGGC
rnacentral:rRNA from 1 species